CCUACGGGAGGCAGCAGUGGGGGAUAUUGCACAAUGGGGGAAACCCUGAUGCAGCGACGCCGCGUGUGGGAAGACGGUCCUCUGGAUUGUAAACCACUGUCCCCAGGGGCGAAGAUGACGGUACAUGGGGAGGAAGCUCCGGCUAACUACGUGCCAGCAGCCGCGGUAAUACGUGGGGCGCGAGCGUUGUCGGGAAUUACUGGGGGAAAGGGGAGCGUGGGCGUGGAUGCAGGUUGGGUUUCAACACUACGGGCUCAACUGGUAGUCGCACUCGAAACUGCAGCUCUUGAGUGAAGUAGAGGCGGGCGGAAUUCCAGGUGUAGCGGUGAAAUGCGUAGAGAUUAGGAGGAACACCAGUGGCGAAGGCGGCCUGCUGGAC
rnacentral:rRNA from 1 species